rnacentral:rRNA from 1 species
GACGAACGCUGGCGGCGUGCCUAAUACAUGCAAGUCGAGCGGACUGAAUGGGAGCUUGCUCUUGUUCGGUCAGCGGCGGACGGGUGAGUAACACGUGGGCAACCUGCCCGCAAGACCGGGAUAACUCCGGGAAACCGGAGCUAAUACCGGAUAACACCGAAGACCGCAUGGUCUUUGGUUGAAAGGCGGCGCAAGCUGCCACUUGCGGAUGGGCCCGCGGCGCAUUAGCUAGUUGGUGAGGUAACGGCUCACCAAGGCGACGAUGCGUAGCCGGCCUGAGAGGGUGACCGGCCACACUGGGACUGAGACACGGCCCAGACUCCUACGGGAGGUAGCAGUAGGGAAUCUUCCGCAAGGGGCGAAAGCCUGACGGAGCGACGCCGCGUGAGCGAAGAAGGCCUUCGGGUCGUAAAGCUCUGUUGUGAGGGACGAAGGAGCGCCGUUUGAAGAAGGCGGCGCGGUGACGGUACCUCACGAGGAAGCCCCGGCUAACUACGUG